UACGAAUGGGGCAAGCGUUGUUCGGAAUCACUGGGCUUAAAGCGUACGCAGGCGGUUUAGCAAGUCAGAAGUGAAAGCCCAGGGCUUAACCCUGGAAUUGCUUUUGAAACUGCUAGACUAGAAUCCGAGAGAGGUUGGCGGAAUUCCGAGUGUAGAGGUGAAAUUCGCAGAUAUUCGGAGGAACACCAGUGGCGAAGGCGGCCAACUGGAUCGGUAUUGACGCUCAUGUACGAAAGCGUGGGGAUCAAAC
rnacentral:rRNA from 1 species